GACGAACGCUGGCGGCGUGCUUAACACAUGCAAGUCGAGCGGUAAGGCCCUUUCGGGGGUACACGAGCGGCGAACGGGUGAGUAACACGUGGGUGACCUGCCCUCAGCUCUGGGAUAAGCCUGGGAAACUGGGUCUAAUACUGGAUAUGACUCCACGGUGCAUGUCGUGGGGUGGAAAGCUUUUGCGGCUGGAGAUGGGCCCGCGGCCUAUCAGCUUGUUGGUGGGGUGAUGGCCUACCAAGGCGACGACGGGUAGCCGGCCUGAGAGGGCGACCGGCCACACUGGGGACUGAGACACGGCCCAGACUCCUACGGGAGGCAGCAGUGGGGAAUCUUGCGCAAUGGGCGAAAGCCUGACGCAGCGACGCCGCGUGAGGGAUGACGGCCUGG
rnacentral:rRNA from 1 species